AGUGAACGCUGGCGGUAGGCCUAACACAUGCCAGUCGAACGGCAGCACAGUAAGCGCUUGCUCUUACGGGUGGCGAGUGGCGGACGGGUGAGGAAUACAUCGGAAUCUACUUUUUCGUGGGGGAUAACGUAGGGAAACUUACGCUAAUACCGCAUACGACCUACGGGUGAAAGCAGGGGAUCUUCGGACCUUGCGCGAUUGAAUGAGCCGAUGUCGGAUUAGCUAGUUGGCGGGGUAAAGGCCCACCAAGGCGACGAUCCGUAGCUGGUCUGAGAGGAUGAUCGGCCACACUGGAACUGAGACACGGUCCAGACUCCUACGGGAGGCAGCAGUGGGGAAUAUUGGACAAUGGGCGCAAGCCUGAUCCAGCCAUACCGCGUGGGUGAAGAAGGCCUUCGGGUUGUAAAGCCCUUUUAUUGGGAAAGAAAAGCAGCAGGUUAAUACCCCGCUGUUCUGACGGUACCCAAAGAAUAAGCACCGGCUAACUUCGUG
rnacentral:rRNA from 1 species